rfam:Lottia gigantea unplaced genomic scaffold LOTGIsca_64, whole genome shotgun sequence.
GUCAACGGCCAUACCACGUUGAAAGCACCAGUUCUCGUCCGAUCACUGAAGUUAAGCAACGUCGGGCUCAGUUAGUACUUGGAUGGGUGACCGCCUGGGAACACCGAGUGCUGUAGACU